CUCAGUAGUUUCCUUCUUAGCAGCUCCCUUCUUUUUCCUACCAAUGUCAACACCAUAAUGCUGGAGGUACCACUGUUUAAACGGUGCAGCAUCAACUUGAACAAUUGCACUCUUGACCAGUGUUUGUGUGCGGACAAGUUCAUUAUUCGAGGCAUUGCAAAACACAUCAAGGAUGCGAGUCUUGCGUGUGGUUGCCUCAUUACCCCAUGAAUAGUUUCCAGUAUCCAAUGUGCCCUCAUUCGAGGCAUUGUAAACCACAUCAAGGAUACGAGUCUUGCGUGUGGUUGCCUCACUACCCCAUGAAUAGUUUCCAGUAUCCAAUCUCAGUGCCCUCCACUUCACAUUACCACCACGAACACGAAUUCGUCUAACUGUCUUG
rnacentral:lncRNA from 1 species